rnacentral:misc_RNA from 1 species
UCUCGGCUUAUCACCGGCAGUCCCUCUAGAGUGCCCAACCAAAUGAUGGCAACUAGAGGCGAGGGUUGCGCUCGUUGCGGGACUUAACCCAACAUCUCACGACACGAGCUGACGACAGCCAUGCAGCACCUGUGUUACGGUUCUCUUUCGAGCACUAAGCCAUCUCUGGCAAAUUCCGUACAUGUCAAAGGUGGGUAAGGUUUUUCGCGUUGCAUCGAAUUAAACCACAUCAUCCACCGCUUGUGCAGGCCCCCGUCAAUUUCUUUGAGUUUUAACCUUGCGGCCGUACUCCCCAGGCGGAGUGCUUAAUGCGUUAGCUGCGACACUGCAUGUGUUAACACACAACAUCUAGCACUCAUCGUUUACAGCGUGGACUAC